AUUGAACGCUGGCGGCAGGCCUAACACAUGCAAGUCGAGCGGAUGAAGGGAGCUUGCUCCUGGAUUCAGCGGCGGACGGGUGAGUAAUGCCUAGGAAUCUGCCUGGUAGUGGGGGAUAACGUCCGGAAACGGGCGCUAAUACCGCAUACGUCCUGAGGGAGAAAGUGGGGGAUCUUCGGACCUCACGCUAUCAGAUGAGCCUAGGUCGGAUUAGCUAGUUGGUGGGGUAAAGGCCUACCAAGGCGACGAUCCGUAACUGGUCUGAGAGGAUGAUCAGUCACACUGGGACUGAGACACGGUCCAGACUCCUACGGGAGGCAGCAGUGGGGAAUAUUGGACAAUGGGCGAAAGCCUGAUCCAGCCAUGCCGCGUGUGUGAAGGAGGUCUUCGGAUUGUAAAGCACUUUAAGUUGGGAGGAAGGGCAGUAAGUUAAUACCUUGCUGUUUUGACGUUACCAACAGAAUAAGCACCGGCUAACUUCGUG
rnacentral:rRNA from 1 species